AUUGAACGCUGGCGGCAGGCCUAACACAUGCAAGUCGAGCGGGGUUUUCGGACCUAGCGGCGGACGGGUGAGCAAUGCGUAGGAAGCUACCCGAUAGAGGGGGAUACCAGUUGGAAACGGCUGUUAAUACCGCAUAAUGUCUACGGACCAAAGUGUGGGACCUUCGGGCCACAUGCUAUCGGAUGCGCCUACGUGGGAUUAGCUAGUUGGUGGGGUAAUGGCUCACCAAGGCGACGAUCCCUAGCUGGUUUGAGAGGAUGAGCAGCCACACUGGAACUGAGACACGGUCCAGACUCCUACGGGAGGCAGCAGUGGGGAAUAUUGGACAAUGGGCGCAAGCCUGACCCAGCCAUGCCGCGUGUGUGAAGAAGGCCUUCGGGUUGUAAAGCACUUUCAGUAGGGAGGAAGGGUGUUGUGUUAAUAGCACAGCAUUUUGACGUUACCUACAGAAGAAGCACCGGCUAACUCUGUGCCAGCCGCCGCCGUAAGAC
rnacentral:rRNA from 1 species